GGUAUUAAAAUAGAAGUUCUCUUCUUUCCCAAUAGGAAAUUGUUUUUAUAUUAAAGACAUUUCUUGUGUGUAUUAUCAUUGCUUUCUUACCAGCACCAACUUGAAAGAACAGUGCUGAUCUAUUUAAAUCUGUAUAAAAUCUUAAGCAUCUCUUUUACCCCCUAAAUUGCAGCUCAUCUGACAUUCAUAGGUCAGAAAGAGUGUUUUGGAAAUGAGAGAUUUGACCUGCCUGACCACCUGUGGAGUUGCUGCAUCUUCCAGUGGCACAAACUCAGGCCUCUGCUGAGCUCCAGAAACUGUCCAUGUGUGCUGUCCCAGCCCAGUGAAUGGGAGCAUGACUCACGGCAGAGUUUUAGAGCUGCCUCUCCAAAACCUCAAUAAAUGCACAGAGCAGCUGUUGUUAUAACCCAACUCACUGCCACGUUACUGCAGACAGAUGCAGUGAUCCAGAAGCAUUUCUACCUCCAGAGAAGAGGGGAGGAGCACAAUAUCUCCCUGCUUCUCCAGCAGCUACCCACCAGGAAAAAAAUGAGGUGACUUGACUUUGGGGGUGUCCCUAUCACUACAGAUUUUCUUACAACCACAAAAGCUGGAUGUUGCAUUAAUCAAAAUCAUGGUGCCCCAAACCCUUUGGUAAGGGCUUGUUUCUAUUCUUGAUUAAAGAUUGCAUGAGAAUCAAAAGCUGCUGUGUUUUUAAUUGCUGAAGUACUCCAUUAAAAGCUGUAACAGAUAAAAGUCUGCCAGAAGCUUCAUCCUUUGUAAACCAGAUGUCAGGUUAACAAAUCAACCUAAUUUCCCCAGAGAUCAAGG